ACUGAGACACGGUCCAGACUCCUACGGGAGGCAGCAGUGGGGAAUAUUGCACAAUGGGCGCAAGCCUGAUGCAGCCAUGCCGCGUGUGUGAAGAAGGCCUUCGGGUUGUAAAGCACUUUCAGCGGGGAGGAAGGCGGUGAGGUUAAUAACCUCAUCGAUUGACGUUACCCGCAGAAGAAGCACCGGCUAACUCCGUGCCAGCAGCCGCGGUAAUACGGAGGGUGCAAGCGUUAAUCGGAAUUACUGGGCGUAAAGCGCACGCAGGCGGUCUGUCA
rnacentral:rRNA from 1 species